rnacentral:rRNA from 1 species
GUCCACGCCGUAAACGAUGGGCACUAGAUGCUUGGGGGAGCGACCCCCUGAGUGUCGGCGCUAACGCAUUAAGUGCCCCGCCUGGGGGAGUACGGCCGCAAGGCUGAAACUCAAAGGAAUUGACGGGGGCCCGCACAAGCGGUGGAGCAUGUGGUUUAAUUCGACGCAACGCGAAGAACCUUACCUGGGCUUGACAUGGCUGGGAAACCUUCUGGAAACAGGAGGCCUCCUUCGGGACUCAGUCACAGGUGCUGCAUGGCUGUCGU